AAAGAAAGAAGGCGUGGGAAGAAAGGGAAGAACCUUUCUGGAUUCCUCUAAUUGACUAGUCAGUCUCUUCUCGUCACUGCAUGACUCAUGCUCAUCCUACCCAUCAUCUUCAUAUGACUACUUGAUCAUCAUGUCGAGGACAACGAGACAAAGUGCCAAGUUGCCGGAAAUGAAGACCUCAGCACCGGAAUCCUCUAAUUCCGGAGCCGUAAACUUGUGGUCAAUUACAGAUUCCGUUGCCCGUUUUGAUGAGAAUGCGAGGAGGAGGUUGGAGUCGAUGAACCAGAAACUGAGGAAUAUGGAGAGGCAGAUGGAAGUCCUUGAAGCUGAUAUACGUAAAGUGCAUGCCUCUUCCAUGGCCGAUUAGUCUUAAUUUAUUCUGUCUAUUGUCAUGCCUUCGCUUUUGUAUAUCUAAAUCCCAUCCUCACCUAUCACGCAUUUGGGUAGAUAUGUAUAGCUUUCUAGGAACUGCCAGCAUCACCAGGUUAUAUCAUCUGUAUUCUAUACGAACUAGGUUAUAUGUGAACUUAAUUUUAUUUAUAUUAUUAAGGGAAGAGGAUGUA